UACAGAGGAGCCAAGCGUUGUCCGGAUUGACUGGGCGUAAAGCGCACGCAGGCGGCACCGCGCGUGGGGUGUGAAAUCUGGCCGCUUAACGGCCAGGCGCCAUCCCAUACGGCGCGUCUGGAGCCUUGCAGAGGUCGGUGGAAUUGCCGGUGUAGUGGUGAAAUGCGUAGAUAUCGGGAGGAACACCAGUGGCGAAGGCGGUUGCCUGGAGCUUUGCUGACGCUGAGGCGCGAAAGCGUGGGGAGCGAUCCGG
rnacentral:rRNA from 1 species